UGAUUAUUCGUAAAACCGUCAACUCGUAACGGUGUAGCAAAUUUUCUUCCCGGAAGUUUCAACAAAACUCACCUUUAGCUUAAUUUUAAUAUUCCGGACAUUUUUCGUGUUUUGACUUUUUCGAUCCGGAGUACGGUUUUCCCCGGAGUCGGUCCGGCGGAGUUUUUCGGGUAUUUUAAUUGUUGAUAAUUAUCCAGUUUGUCUCGAUAUACGUGAAAGCUAGAUAUUUUGAUUAUUAUAUUACUUUUUAUUGAAAUACGUGCAAAUGGGACCCGCAGACUAAUCAUUGCUUUUAAAAGCCCCGUUUUGAUGAUUAUCUCGAAAACCGGUACCGAUUGGACCCCGCUUUAUUAAUAUAAAGCUAUUAAAUACGUAUUUUCAUGUCAUAAACGAUCCAAAGGGGUACCAAUUAUUUGUAAAUAUAAAUAGACUUUCCCGUAGCUUUAUUUCACCCGUAAAAUCAUUUCACCAGUUUCUCUGCACGAAUACCGAGAGAAACCGAGCUGCGUUCUUCGUGUUCUUCGUAAUCAAACGAGGAUUUGAAGGCGUUAUUGGAAUCCGAUGGAGGCGUAUGAAUAGUCAAAACGAAGCUAUCGACGCGUAGAAUCUAGUUUAAUCAUCCGUUUGUGUGCAGAUUCAACAGGAUUUGGACGAGACGUGUACGCUCGAAGACGUCAGGAAGUCGAAAUGGUAUUGCAAAACGAAUAAGGGAUGAAUCGAGUAAGCGAAGCGAUGUGGCGAAUAGAGUACGGCUAGAGAUGGUCUAGAAAUUAUGAUAUGGAUAGAUUGUGAAAGUGGAAAGAUGAGGUUGAGCUAUGAAACUGGAGUCAGAUUUAAGGCAAGUAUCCUAAACCUUUCUCUUGGAUAUAUUGCAAAUAUUCUGAUCCAUUCCUUUGGUAUAUGUUUCAAGUAUUCAUACCUUUCUUUUCAAUGUUCGAAAGUGCGAGUAUUCUGACCCAUUCUUUCUAAUCUUCAAGUUUCUAAAGAAUUUCCGUUUUAUAAAUUAAUUCGAAGUUCAGAUUGUCAUUGAAGCAUGUGUUGCUCAGUGAUAGUUAGAGCUUUGAAUGAAUUGGGAUCUUCUUGAUUAUUCAACCCGCCAUUGUCAUGCUGGUUUAGCAGGCUAAAUUCAGUUGCUUAGCCGAUAAUGGAGGAUACUGAAUAGUUGAGGAUUUCCUGAACUGUGAUUUAUGAAAUGAUGGAUCAUGAUUUAUGAAUAGAUUAUUAUCAAAGUUUGAAUUGGAAUUAUUCUGUUGUUGAUGAUAUUUAUGAUGAUGUUCUGUUAAUUUACAUUGGCUUCUUGAAUUGAAUUAGAGAAUUGGAUUAUUGUUUUUAUAUAAACCUGUGGACCAGAUUCGUGGUCAUGUUAGGCCAAUGAGUGCCUUGGAUCCAGUGAUAGAGCAUGGCGGGGCCUGCUCGGGGUUAGUGCGGAACUGAUCAGCUGCCUAACCUUGGUUUUAAUUAAAAUGUGAUAGUCCAAUUCAAUAAUUCUUUGGAAAGAUUGAAUUUCUCAGUUUAAAUGUUGCAAGGUAUUGUAAAUCAUUCUAUACAAUACCAUGAACUCAUGAACUCAGGUUGAAUCCUCUUAUAUCUUGAACUCGUGAACUUCUAUUAUAUCAUUUCAGAACUAUCAUUGUUUAUUAUUACUUGCUGAGCAUUGUUGCUCACCCUUGCUAUUCCUUUCUAACUGUUAGGUCCGUAUAUAGGGAUAAUUAAGCUAGAAGGGGGGGUUGAAUAGCUUAAUCACCAGUUUAAAAACUUUAUGGCGUUUUAAAAAGUUUAUCCCCCUUUUUAAAAGCUUGUAUCUAGAGUAAUGGCAGUUGUAAAUGCGGAAGCAAAAAGCAAAGAAAGAAAAAUACCACACGAGGGAUUUUAUCCUGGUUCGCGGUGGCUAACUCAACCGAUGGAGUCCACUCACCCCUAGUCCAGUCCCCGAGCUCCUCCCCGGACUCGAGAUUUUCUCUACUAAAAAGAUACUCCUUUAAAGUAGGCGGAGAAGCCUUUACAAAUAUAUAUCUUGGAGCGUAACUUCCCGUUACCUCCUCACUAUAAAUGUAAAAACACCUACAAAGCUUGUCUCGGAACGUAACUCCCCGUUACUUCCUCAAAGUCGAUGUAGAACCUUGUGUAGUCUUUGUACUUCUACACCUUUUGCCGGUCUCGGGUCUUAGGUAUUAGAUCUCGGGUCUUUCCUCUUCUUCACGGUGCAAUGACUAUUAACUCCCCGUCAAUACGUCAAGGACUUGGGUCUUAGAACGAAGAUCACCUCACUUCACUUCACCUCA